UACAGAGGGGGCAAGCGUUUUUCGGAAUUAUUGGGCGUAAAGGGCGCGUAGGCGGCUUUGCAAGUGACGGGUGAAAUCCCUCGGCUUAACCGAGGAACUGCCUGUCAAACUGCAUGGCUUGAGACCGGGAGAGGUGAGUGGAAUUCCCAGUGUAGCGGUGAAAUGCGUAGAUAUUGGGAGGAACACCAGUGGCGAAGGCGGCUCACUGGACCGGUACUGACGCUGAUGCGCGAAAGCGUGGGGAGCAAACAGG
rnacentral:rRNA from 1 species